rnacentral:rRNA from 1 species
AUUGAACGCUGGCGGCAUGCUUUACACAUGCAAGUCGAACGGUAACAGGCCUUCGGGUGCUGGCGAGUGGCGCACGGGUGCGUAAUGCAUCGGAACGUACCCAGAGGUGGGGGAUAACGCAGCGAAAGCUGUGCUAAUACCGCAUGUGAUCUGAGGAUGAAAGCGGGGGACCGCGCAGCAAUGUUUGGCCUCGCGCCUUUGGAGCGGCCGAUGUCGGAUUAGCUAGUUGGUGGGGUAAAGGCCUACCAAGGCGACGAUCCGUAGCUGGUCUGAGAGGACGACCAGCCACACUGGGACUGAGACACGGCCCAGACUCCUACGGGAGGCAGCAGUGGGGAAUUUUGGACAAUGGGCGCAAGCCUGAUCCAGCAAUGCCGCGUGCGGGAAGAAGGCCUUCGGGUUGUAAACCGCUUUUGGCAGGAACGAAACGGUGUCCGCUAAUACCGGGCGCUAAUGACGGUACCUGCAGAAUAAGCACCGGCUAACUACGUG